CCCAGUAGUCUUCAUACAGCAAGCACUGGGCAUUCUCCCACCACUUCUCCCUGAAAUUGAACCACAGAAAGAAAGCAGGAAUGAGAGAGGGUAUUUCCCACUACACUCCCUGUCCCCAUCUACGCUCCCAAUGCCCUCUGAGUGGACUUGCCUUCGGGAAGCUCCAGGUGGGGAAGCAGAAGGGUUUGGUAUUUCAGCAUUGUUACCUGUAGCCUAAAUGUCCUUCAUAGGACACAACAA